rnacentral:lncRNA from 1 species
AUGUCUGCCCCUUUCCUUCCUCUUCCAGGGCUCUGUCUUCAGGAAGCCUACACUUCCCUUGUCACCCUCCCCUCUGAUCCUGGACCCAUUCCUCCAACUGACAUUAAGUGAGCAACCACUGGGCACUGACAUUUGACAGUAAAUCCUGGAGAAACAUUGAUAAGCAUUGAUAAAUAAUCUAGGAGAGAGGUGAAAUGACCUUCCCCAUUCCACAAGUUUUUCUUGAGCACUUCUGUUGUGUUAGUCCCUGAUGGGUUGGUAGGUAGUGGGUGCUCAGUAGCAUCUAUGAGGUCAACACAGAUGACCCCCCAACAUAAAUGCAGGCUUUCUCAUCAGGGGAGAAACUGAAACACACAGGAGGCCAGGUGGGGAGGUCAAAUGGGUGGGGCCAGCCAGUCCCACAUCUCCACUGGUGCCAAGAGAGCUACAGUGGACAGAGUGAGGUCCCAGGAGGAAGAGUGCUUUAUCCAUGCUGGCCCCUGCUAUAGUUAUAGCAUCCACUAUGGAGCCUGGAAUGAAGACAGUUAUCAAUUAAUACUUGUGGGAUGAAUGAAUAUCCUAUUUUUUCUUGACUUGUGUGACCCAUUUGCCUUACAUGUGCCAACUUUUGGUAGGGACAGACAGAGCUGAUUUCCUAAGUAUGAGGAAAAGAGUCUUGCUAAACUGUGAUAGAAGGUCCUGGAGAGGGCUGGAGAUGUGGCUCAAGCGGUAGCGCGCUCGCCUGGCAUGCGUGCGGCCCGGGUUCGAU